AUUGAACGCUGGCGGCAGGCCUAACACAUGCAAGUCGAGCGAGCGGCGGACGGGUGAGUAAUGUAUGGGGAUCUGCCCGAUAGAGGGGGAUAACUACUGGAAACGGUAGCUAAUACCGCAUACCAUCAGAUGUGCCCAGAUGGGAUUAGCUAGUAGGUGGGGUAAUGGCUCACCUAGGCGACGAUCCCUAGCUGGUCUGAGAGGAUGACCAGCCACACUGGAACUGAGACACGGUCCAGACUCCUACGGGUGGACGCAGUGGGGAAGAUUGUACAAUGGGCGCAAGCCUGAUGCAGCCAUGCCGCGUGUGUGAAGAAGGCCUUCGGGUUGUAAAGCUCUUUCAGCGAGGAGGCGUUACUCGCAGAAGAAGCACCGGGUCACUCCGUGCCAGCCGCCGCGGUAAUUC
rnacentral:rRNA from 1 species